UGUCCAAGCGGGAAUCGAACCCACAACGUUCCGCUUACCGGGCAGAUGCCAUGUCCACUAGGCUACCCUGGAC